GACGAACGCUGGCGGCGUGCCUAAUACAUGCAAGUCGAACGCAGUGGGGCCGGUUUGGUAACACGUGGGUAACCUCCCAUCAGAGGGGAUAACACUUGGAAACAGGUGCUAAACCGAUACUGAUGGAUGAACCCGCGGUGCAUUAGCUAGUUGGUGAGGUAAGGGCUCACAAAGGCCACGAUGCAUAGGCGACCUGAGAGGGUGAUCUGCAAAACUGGGACUGAUCACCGGGCCAUACGCCUACGGGAUGCAGCAGUAGGGAAUCUUGGGCAAUGGAAGAAAGUCUGACCGAGCAACGCCGCGUGAGUGAAGAAGGUGUUCGGAUCGUAAAACGCUGUUGUGAGAGAAGCGGUAUCUACCCAGAAAGCCACGGCUAACUACGGGCCAGCAGCCGCGGUAAUAC
rnacentral:rRNA from 1 species